GAUGAACGCUGGCGGCGUGCCUAAUACAUGCAAGUCGAGCGAACGGACGAGAAGCUUGCUUCUCUGAUGUUAGCGGCGGACGGGUGAGUAACACGUGGAUAACCUACCUAUAAGACUGGGAUAACUUCGGGAAACCGGAGCUAAUACCGGAUAAUAUUUUGAACCGCAUGGUUCAAAAGUAAAAGACGGUCUUGCUGUCACUAAUAGAUGGAUCCGCGCUGCAUUAGCUAGUUGGUAAGGUAACGGCUUACCAAGGCAACGAUGCAUAGCCGACCUGAGAGGGUGGUCGGCCACACUGGAACUGAGACACGGCCCAGACUCCUGCGGGAGGACGCAGUAGGGAAUCUUACGCAAUGGGCGAAUGCCUGACGGUGCAACGCCGCGUGAGUGAUGAAGGUCUUAGGAUCGUAAAGCGCUGUUAUUAGGGAAGAACACAUGUGUAAGUAACUGUGAUGAUCUUGACGGUACCUAAUGAGAAAGCCACGGCUAACUACGUG
rnacentral:rRNA from 1 species